GGGUUGUGAGGUUAAGCGACAAAGAGUACACGGGCGAUGCGGUGGCAGUCAGAGGCAAGGAAGGACGUGCUAAUCCGCGAAACGCGUCGCUAAGCUGAUAUAAACCGUUAGAACCGGCGAUUUCCGAAUGGGGAUGACGUGGGCAAUUCGGUGAUCUAUC
rnacentral:rRNA from 1 species